rnacentral:lncRNA from 1 species
UUGCUUCCCUCUUUGACAUGAAUCACAAACGGUGUCCAUCUCAAACUUGAGUUUUGGGAGACCAACUACUAAGUAUUGUGAAACCAAUUUAUUCAAAAGGUUCAUGUUAACAUGAGCUACUCUUCGAUACCAUAGCCACAUAUCGUCCUCUUUACUUAUGAGGCAUUUAGCAAAGUUUGAUGAAGAGUUCUCAAGGUUAACCAUAUAA